rnacentral:tRNA from 1 species
GGGGGGUUAGCUCAGCUGGGAGAGCGCUAGAAUCGCACUCUAGAGGUCGUGGGUUCGAUCCCCAUACCCUCCA